AUUGAACGCUGGCGGCAGGCCUAACACAUGCAAGUCGGACGGUAGCACAGAGGAGCUUGCUCCUCGGGUGACGAGUGGCGGACGGGUGAGUAAUGUCUGGGGAUCUGCCCGAUAGAGGGGGAUAACCACUGGAAACGGUGGCUAAUACCGCAUAACGUCGCAAGACCAAAGAGGGGGACCUUCGGGCCUCUCACUAUCGGAUGAACCCAGAUGGGAUUAGCUAGUAGGCGAGGUAACGACCCACCUAGGCGACGAUCCCUAGCUGGUCUGAGAGGAUGACCAGCCACACUGGAACUGAGACACGGUCCAGACUCCUACGGGAGGCAGCAGUGGGGAAUAUUGCACAAUGGGCGCAAGCCUGAUGCAGCCAUGCCGCGUGUAUGAAGAAGGCCUUCGGGUUGUAAAGUACUUUCAGCGGGGAGGAGGGCGAUGUGGUUAAUAACCGUAUCGAUUGACGUUACCCGCAGAAGAAGCACCGGCUAACUCCGUGCCAGCCGCCGCGGUAA
rnacentral:rRNA from 1 species